CAGCCGCCGCGGGAAUACGAAGGGGGCUAGCGUUGUUCGGAAUUACUGGGCGUAAAGGGCGCGUAGGCGGCCAUUCAAGUUAGAUGUGAAAGCCCUGGGCUCAACCUAGGAAUUGCAUUUGAUACUGUUUGGCUUGAGUUCGGGAGAGGUGAGUGGAAUUCCCAGUGUAGAGGUGAAAUUCGUAGAUAUUGGGAAGAACACCAGUGGCGAAGGCGGCUCACUGGACCGACACUGACGCUGAGGCGCGAAAGCGUGGGGAGCAAACAGGAUUAGAUACCCCCGUAGUCCCUGUCUAUUAUAA
rnacentral:rRNA from 1 species